rnacentral:rRNA from 1 species
CUUUUGCGUGAAUCAGGAAUUUUAAUUCAACAUCGAGGUCGCAAACUCUUUUAUUGAUACGUACUCGUAAAAAGAAUUACGCUGUUAUCCCUGCAGUAACUUAUUUUUAAUUAGAAAGUUUCUGAUUUCUAAAGAAUAAUGUCCACAUUGUAAAAAUAAAAUUACUUUAUUUACUGCCCCAGUAAAACAAAUUUGAUUUGUUUUAAGAAAAACAAGAUAAUUUGUAAAGUUUGACAGGGUCUUCUCGUCCCUAAAAUAAAUUUUAGCCUUUUUACUAAAAUGUAAAAUUCAAAAUAUCACUAUAAGACAAAAUUACUUAGUUUACCCUUUCAUUCUAG